rnacentral:tRNA from 1 species
AUUUGAAGAUUAAAGACGUGACUCUUAAUCAGGGUGUCCAGGGUUCGAACCCCUGAUCGC